rnacentral:misc_RNA from 1 species
UCGUAACAAGGUUUCCGUAGGUGAACCUGCGGAAGGAUCAUUACCUAGAGUUGUAGGCUUUGCCUGCUAUCUCUUACCCAUGUCUUUUAAGUACCUUCGUUUCCUCGGCGGGUUCGCCCGCCGAUUGGACAAUUUAAACCAUUUGCAGUUGCAAUCAGCGUCUGAGAAAACUUAAUAGUUACAACUUUCAACAACGGAUCUCUUGGUUCUGGCAUCGAUGAAGAACGCAGCGAAAUGCGAUAAGUAGUGUGAAUUGCAGAAUUCAGUGAAUCAUCGAAUCUUUGAACGCACAUUGCGCCCCUUGGUAUUCCAUGGGGCAUGCCUGUUCGAGCGUCAUUUGUACCUUCAAGCUCUGCUUGGUGUUGGGUGUUUGUCUCGCCUCUGCGUGUAGACUCGCCUCAAAACAAUUGGCAGCCGGCGUAUUGAUUUCGGAGCGCAGUACAUCUCGCGCUUUGCACUCAUAACGACGACGUCCAAAAGUACAUUUUUACACUCUUGACCUCGGAUCAGGUAGGGAUACCCGCUGAACUUAAGCAUAUCAAUAA